AUUGAACGCUGGCGGCAGGCCUAACACAUGCAAGUCGAACGCAGUGGGGACGGGUGAGUAACACGUGGGUAACCUCCCAUCAGAGGGGAUAACACUUGGAAACAGGUGCUAAACCGAUACUGAUGGAUGGACCCGGGGUGCAUUAGCUAGUUGGUGAGGUAACGGCGCACCAAGGCCACGAUGCAUAGCUGAGCUGAGAGGAUGAUCAGCCACACUGGGACUGAGACACGGCCCAGACUCCUACGGGAGGCAGAAGUAGGGAAUAUUGGGCAAUGGACGAAAGCCUGAUCGAGCAACGCCGCGUGAAUGAAGAAGGUCUUCGGGUUGUAAAACUCUUUUGUCGGGGAAGCGUUACCCGACGAGAAAGCACCGGCUAACUCCGUGCCAGCAGCCGCGGUAAUUC
rnacentral:rRNA from 1 species